GCAUCGGUAGUGUAGUGGUAGCAUGCGUCCUCGGUACGUGUGAAACGCGGGUUCAACUCGCGCAUGAUGCU